rnacentral:tRNA from 1 species
UCCUCUAUAGUCUAGUUGGUUAGGAUAUUCGGCUUUCACCCGAACGACCUGGGUUCGAGUCCCAGUGGAGGAA